GGGGGGGGGGGGGGGGGGGGGGGGUGGAGGCAGGUCGGGCGGAGAGAGAAGGAGCUUGCUCCUUGGACGGUGGCGGCGGACGGGUGAGGAACACGUGGGUAACCGACCUAUAAGACUGGGAUAACUUCGGGAAACCGGAGCUAAGACCUGAGAACAUUGUGAACCGCAUGGUUCUAAAUUGAAAUCUGGUUGUGCUAUCACUUAUAGAUUGACCCGCGACGUAUUAGCUAUUGGCUAAGUUCACUGCUUACACAGGCAACGAUACGUAGCAGACAUGAGCGGGUGAUCGGCCACACUGGAACUGAGACACGGUCCAGACUCCUACGGGAGGCAGCAGUAGGGAAUCUUCAGCAAUGGUCGAAAGCCUGACGGAGCAACGCCGCGUGAGUGAUGAAGGGUUUCGGCUCGUAAAACUCUGUUAUUAGGGAAGAACAAACGUGUAAGUAACUGUGCACGUCUUGACGGUACCUAAUCAGAAAGCCACGGCUAACUACGUG
rnacentral:rRNA from 1 species